AUACUUACCUGGCAGGGGAGAUACCAUGAUGACGAAGGUGGUUUUCCCAAGGCGAGGCUGAUCCAUUGCUCUUCAGAUGUGCUGACCCCUGUGAUUUCCCCAAAUGUGGAAAACUUGACUUGUGAAAACUUAAUUUGUGGUAGUGGAGGACUGCAUUCAUGCUGUCCCAUG
ensembl:snRNA U1 U1 spliceosomal RNA